AAGCUCUUUUACCAGGGAUGAUAAUGACAGUACCUGGAGAAUAAGCUCCGGCUAACUCCGUGCCAGCAGCCGCGGUAAUACGGAGGGAGCUAGCGUUGUUCGGAAUUACUGGGCGUAAAGCGUACGUAGGCGGUUAUUCAAGUCAGAGGUGAAAGCCUGGAGCUCAACUCCAGAGGUGAAAUUCGUAGAUAUUCGGAAGAACACCAGUGGCGAAGGCGACUCACUGGACAAGUAUUGACGCUGAGGUACGAAAGCGUGGGGAGCAAACAGGAUUAGAUACCCUGGUAGUCACACGCCGUAAACGAUGAUAACUAGCUGUUCGGGCU
rnacentral:rRNA from 1 species